UGUUAAAAUUUUUAUCAAUUUGUACUGUUAAAAAUUGAUGUGCCUGAUUGAAUAACCAGACCGUGACACGUUGUGUGUCAUGUAUACGCCAUGUCAAUGCACAGAGAUCAGUUUUUAAUAGUAAAAAUGGACAAAUUUUUUAACA
rfam:Gossypium raimondii Chr07_contig_144, whole genome shotgun sequence.